rnacentral:rRNA from 1 species
CAAUCCAUGAGUACAGUGGCGUACGGGUGAGUAACACGUGGGUAAUCUACCUUUUAGUGUGGAAUAACCCUGGGAAACCGGGGCUAAUACCGCAUAAUCUCGAGAGAGGAAAGUCGCAAGACGCUGAAAGAGGAGCCCGCGGCCGAUUAGCUAGUUGGCAGGGUAAAAGCCUACCAAGGCAGAGAUCGGUAGCCGGCCUGAGAGGGCACACGGCCACACUGGCACUGAAACACGGGCCAGACUCCUACGGGAGGCAGCAGUGGGGAAUCUUGCACAAUGGGGGCAACCCUGAUGCAGCGACGCCGCGUGAGCGAUGAAGCCCUUCGGGGUGUAAAGCUCUUUCGUCAGGGACGAUAAUGGACGGUACCUGGAGAAGCAGCUGCGGCUAACUACGUGCCAGCAGCCGCGGUAAUACGUAGGCAGCGAGCGUUGUUCGGAGUUACUGGGCGUAAAGGGUGUGUAGGCGGUUGUUUAAGUUUGGUGUGAAAUCUCCCGGCUCAACUGGGAGGGUGCGCCGAAUACUGAAUGGACUAGAGUGCGGGAGAGGAAAGUGGAAUUCCUGGUGUAGCGGUGAAAUGCGUAGAUAUCAGGAGGAACACCGGUGGGUGUAGACGGCUUUCUGGACCGUAACUGACGCUGAGACACGAAAGCGUGGGUAGCAAACAGGAUUAGAUACCCUGGUAGUCCACGCCCUAAACGAUGCAUAUUUGGUGUGGGCAGUUCAUUCUGUCCGUGCCGGAGCUAACGCGUUAAAUAUGCCGCCUGGGGAGUACAGUCGCAAGGCUGAAACUC